UAUGGGAAAAAUUUAUAAUUUUUUGAGAUGAUUUGAGAUCCCUUUUUGCUCGUAGAUGUGCAAGAAGGCUGAAGCGACGUAUCUAAAAAUUAAGAGUCCUUCUCAUAUAAGACUCCUAAUUUUUGAUAUGCUAAUUAAGGGACCUCAUGAAAGAGUGUAUCUAGACCCCUUCUACACUCCUUUUAUUGCUAUAAAUAGGUGGC
rnacentral:lncRNA from 1 species